AAUUGGUUUGUGUCUGGCGUAUGGCUCCACAGGAGAUGGGCAGAGUAAUUAAGAAGAUACUAGAAGCUGGUCAGCUGGGAACAUGCAAAGGUCAGCAUUUCAGUAAAUGAAUUUCUUCUGGAACUAAUGAGCAAUUUCCUUCUCUUCCUUUUAAGUAGUAUACCUUUUUCUCAGUUAGUAAUUUAAUGGUAGCUGCAGACAAGUGUAUGUGUAAGUGCAUGCAUAUGAGGUGUGAGUAUAGGGUGUGUGUGUAAUUUCUUUUCCUAAUAUCCAGAAGAUCCAAGUAUUUCAUCUCACUUCACCUUCCUUAAAAGGUGUCCCUUUGGGAGACUGUACUGAUUACUGCAGUGCUGCCCAAGUAAAAUCAUUCUGCGAACUCCUCUGCUAGAAUGGCCUUUGGUGCCCAACACGUUCCUUUGAUUCCCCCUAGAGAUGAGAAAUCUUCAUCCUUUGAGGACGGAUUUAAGUUUUAGAAAUAAUCCCAAGUCAUGUAUAACACAGUUGGAUGAAUAAAGAUGGUGAUUAAGGUAAGUCACACCAUUUUUGUUUCUUAAAAAAAAAAAAUCCUUAAGAAGGUUUUUGGAAUGAGCCUUCAAUCUGAAGCCUCUCAAAGUGACCAUUUCAAGGGAGGACUGUGCUCAUUAGUACGUGUAACUUCUAGUGGAUUCGUUUUUCAAAAUCUGUUUUCUUGCCAUGCCUCCUGUGUGUUCACAUCUCUACAUACACUACAGACAUCAGUGCGUAUUCAUUAGUAUCAACAUCUGGUAGGUAUUCUGUAGAGCUGUUAUUGUCAUAUUAUUCUGUGCAUGUUAUUGUCAUGUUAUUCUGUGACUGAGGUGUUUUUUUGUCAUGAAGCUUUGCUUCUUCACAGAAUUAAAAUACUGCUCUCUAUAUAACAAUAUAUAUAUAUAGCAUCUUCUUGUAUCGGCUCCCAAAGUUUUGACGCCCAGUGUUGUGUUUACAUGUGAUUUUGCCUAGAAUUCUGUUCACAUAUAGACAUCUGUAAGUAUUUAUUACCAAACAGAAUGUAAGCAAAUAUAUCCACAGUUGGGUUUAUUUCGAAUCAAGGUGUUUUUCCCUUUUGAGGAGGGACAGUGGAGCCUCCUCCUCAACGAGGCACUUAACAGGAUCUGUGUGAAAUUCUGUGAACGGGCGAGCGUGGGCACACGAUUUCAGCCAGAACUAUGGCAGCCCUGGCACCACUGCUCCUCCUGUCUGCUCUGUGUGUGUGCAUCGUCGAGCUUGGUGGCAGUGGGCUGUGUUCUUCCCAGCAGACUCUGGCAUCCAGGUGUAACAUUUUGGCAUCUUGGCACUGAGGGGUGGUGUACAGAGCUGUACGGCCAGAUGGGUCUGUGUGCAGAGUCAGGGGAGUCCAAGAACACGGCGUGUCCCCCACAGCAAAUAUUGAUACUGAUGGUCAGCCAAAGAUUUUCCUAUUCUUUGCUGCUUAAACUUGUGCCUUAAUAUUGUAUAUAAUAAAUGGAUAAAAUGGCAA